rnacentral:sRNA from 1 species
ACCAGGUGUGGGGGUGCACGCCUGUAAUCUCAGUGGCUGAGGAGGCUGAGGCAGGAGGAUCAUGAGUUCAAAGCCAGCCUCAGCGAAAGUGAGGCCCUAAACAACUCACUGAGACCCUGUCUCUA